GGAUUAGAUACCCUAUUAUUAUAGAUAUAAAUUUUGGACUUGAGUAGUAUUAGUUAUGAUCUUGAAACUUAAAGAAUUUGGCGGUAUUUUAGUCUAUUUAGAGGAAUCUGUUCCAUUAUCGAUAUUCCACGUUGAACCUUACUUAAUUUAUUAAUAUGUAUACCGCCGUUUAUUGAAAAUCUUAUUAGGGUAAAAUUUUCUUAAUACAAAAUUUUGUAAUAUUUCAGGUCAAGGUGCAGUUUAUAAUUAAGUGGAAAUGGAUUACAAU
rnacentral:rRNA from 1 species